rnacentral:lncRNA from 7 species
GUCACGAGGAAUCGUUUGCUCCACAGGCUACGUCUCCACCAAGCCUGCAUCGACGACUCGAAGGAUCCGUGCCGUCGUCGAUCGCCGAUCGCCUCUUCGUAGAUCGAAUCUGUUCAGUGUUCUGCUAUUCGUUGUAUUUCAUCUGAGAUCUGAAAAAAGUAUUCGGGCCAUCUCGAGAUAGAGAGGCCUUCAUAGGCGGAGAAAAAGAAACAGGACUCGCCAUCCAUCAUGGGUGUUGUCU